rnacentral:rRNA from 1 species
AGCGAACGCUGGCGGCAGGCUUAACACAUGCAAGUCGAGCGGGCGUAGCAAUACGUCAGCGGCAGACGGGUGAGUAACGCGUGGGAACAUACCUUUUGGUCCGGAACAACACAGGGAAACUUGUGCUAAUACCGGAUAAGCCCUUACGGGGAAAGAUUUAUCGCCGAAGAUUGGCCCGCGUCUGAUUAGCUAGUUGGUGAGGUAACGGCUCACCAAGGCGACGAUCAGUAGCNGGUCUGAGAGGAUGAUCAGCCACAUUGGGACUGAGACACGGCCCAAACUCCUACGGGAGGCAGCAGUGGGGAAUAUUGGACAAUGGGCGCAAGCCUGAUCCAGCCAUGCCGCGUGAGUGAUGAAGGCCGUAGGUUGUAAGCUCUUUUGUGCGGGAAGAUAAUGACGGUACCGCAAGAAU